rnacentral:rRNA from 1 species
CCCUUAGAUGUUCUGGGCCGCACGCGUGCUACACUGAGUGGAUCAGCGGGUCAGGUUGCGCGAAAGCGUUUCCUAAUCUUUAAAUCCGCUCGUGAUGGGGAUUGACGGUUGCAAUUUUCCGUCAUGAACGAGGAAUACCUUGUAAGCGCGGGUCAUCAUCCCGCGCUGAAUACGUCCCUGCCCUUUGUACACACCGCCCGUCGCUCCUACCGAUUGAGUGGUCCGGUGAGGCUUUGGGAUCUGAGCGGAAAGAGCGUUUCGCUGUUUCUGCCCGGAAAGCUCAGUCGAACCUUAUCAUUUAGAGGAAGGAGAAGUCGUAACA